GGAAACCCAGGAGUUCACUGCCAGCUGCAUGUGAAGUUUGUGAAGCUACUCUGGAAUUUUAAAUGCUUUUUGCUCGUGAGCAAAUGGGACGGCAAAACCGUGGAGUAAUAAUCAGAAUAAGGUCACCGUAUAAAGAUCCUCCUGGAAUAUGAAAUUUUAAGGAGAGCCUGUACGUGGUUGUUUGAACAAGAGCUUCAGAGUAAGAGGUGGACAAAGUGUGGAUUAAGACCUAUGCAAGGAAAAGGCUGUAAUUCUAAUAUUAAUUAGUUUCUGCAUAAUUAAUUAUUUCUCAUUUUCAGCACUGGCUGUGAGCUCCCUCUGUCCUUGGCCAAGUUUGAAGUCUGAUUUUAUGGCUCUGACUCUUCUCUGGUGCACUGUCCAGAUUUUAAUUUCCAGCGAGAGUGGGAAGAAGAAGAGGAGAACAGAGUUCAUUCAUUUCAGAAGAGUCAGUAGUUAAGACAUCCAUCUGCUGUGAGGAGCCAGAUUCACAUGCCUGCUCAGCCAUUUUUGUCUUCAUGUGAGCUGUUAGAAUGGAAGUCUUAGAAUGGCCUGACCUGGUGAGGAAAACUGAUACUGGAAUACACAAAAAAAAAAAAAAGGAAAGGGAAGGGGCUUAUUUUGUACUAGACAGUAAAUAAAAUGGACAUGCCUGGCAAAAUAAGUCUGUUUGGCCUCCCUUUAAGUAGCCUGGCUAAGUCCUGGAAUAGGUUGAG
rnacentral:lncRNA from 12 species